AAGUCCUGUAGGUGAAAAUUAAAGUUAAACUAGAUAGUAUCCUGAGUAUCAUGGGACACGAGAAACCCCGUGAGAAGCAAGGAGGACCAUCUCCUAAGACUAAAUACUCUCUAGCAACCGAUAGUGAACCAGUACCGUGAGGGAAAGGUGAAAAGAACCCCGGGAGGGGAGUGAAAUAGAAUCUGAAACCAUGUGCCUACAAGCAGUCAGAGGACGUAUAUAUAUCAGUCUGAUGGCGUGCUUUUUGCAUAACGAACCGGCGAGUUAUGAUAUGUAGCGUUUAGGUUAAGCCAGGAAGGUGGAGCCAUAGCGAAAGCGAGUCUGAAUAGGGCGUAAGUUACAUGUCAUAGACCCGAAACCAAGUGAUCUAUCCAUGGUCAGGGUGAAGCACGUGUAAGAGCGUGUGGAGGCCCGAACUGCAUUGACGUUGAAAAGUCAUGGGAUGAACUGUGGAUAGGGGUGAAAGGCCAAUCGAACUUGGAGAUAGCUGGUUCUCCCCGAAAUAGCUUUAGGGCUAGCCUCAAGUAAUGCACUUUGGUCGUAGAGCACUGAUUGGACUAGGGGCUUUAUUAAGUUACCGAAUCCAGUCAAACUCCGAAGGCUGAAGAUGUUUAUCUUGGGAGUCAGACUAUGUGGGAUAAGCUUCAUAGUCGAGAGGGAAACAACCCAGAUCGUCAGUUAAGGUCCCUAAGUAUGAGCUAAGUGGCAAAGGAUGUGAGAUUGCAUAGACAACCAGGAUGUUGGCUUAGAAGCAGCCAUUCAUUUAAAGAGUGCGUAAUAGCUCACUGGUCGAGUGGUCUUGCGCUGAAAAUGUCCGGGGCUUAAGCUCAUCACCGAAACUACGGAUUGUUUUUUAACAGUGGUAGGGGAGCUUUCUAUAAGGAUUGAAGCAGUACCGUAAGGAGCUGUGGACUUUAUAGAAGUGAUAAUGCCGGUAUGAGUAACGAUAAGAUAGGUGAGAAUCCUAUCCGCCAAAAGUCUAAGGUUUCCUGAGGAAGGCUCGUCCGCUCAGGGUCAGCCGGGACCUAAGCCGAGGCCAAAAGGCGUAGGCGAUGGACAAUCGGUUAAAAUUCCGAUGCUACCUCCUUACCGUUUGAGCAAUGGGGGGACGCAGUAAGAUAGGCCAGCCUGUUAACGGUUAUACAGGUCGAAGCAUGUAGGAGGAUCCUUUAGGCAAAUCCGGAGGAUCAUUAACUCUAAAGUGUGAUCUCGAACUUCUACGGAAGUGAAGUGGUUGAUUCUACACUGCCAAGAAAAGCCUCUAGCAAGGUAAGUGGUACCCGUACCGUAAAUUGACACAGAUAGACAGGAAGAGAAUUCUAAGGCGCGCGAGAGAACCUUCGUUAAGGAACUCGGCAAAAUUGCCCCGUAACUUCGGGAGAAGGGGUGCCUCAUUAGGGUGUAUGCUCGAAGAGGCUGCAGUGACUAGGCCCAAGCGACUGUUUACCAAAAACACAGGUCUCUGCUAAGACGCAAGUCGAUGUAUAGGGGCUGACGCCUGCCCGGUGCUGGAAGGUCAAGGGGAGAUGUUAGGACUAGAUCUGAAGCAUUGAACUUAAGCCCCAGUAAACGGCGGCCGUAACUAUAACGGUCCUAAGGUAGCGAAAUUCCUUGUCGGGUAAGUUCCGACCUGCACGAAUGGCGCAACGACUUGGGCACUGUCUCAACGAAGGACUCGGUGAAAUUGUAUUACCUGUGAAGAUGCAGGUUACCCGCGACAGGACGGAAAGACCCCGUGGAGCUUUACUGUAGUCUGAGAUUGAAUUUUGGUACCAUAUGUACAGGAUAAGUGGGAGGCUAUGAAAUCGGUACGCUAGUAUCGGUGGAGCCGCUGGUGGGAUACCACUCUUAUUGUGCUGGAAUUCUAACCAUGUGCUGUGAUCCAGUGCUGGGACAGUUUCAGAUGGGCAGUUUGACUGGGGCGGUCGACUCCUAAAUUGUAACGGAGUCGCCCAAAGGUUCCCUCAGUGCGGACGGAAAUCGCACGAAGAGUGUAAAGGCAGAAGGGAGCUUGACUGCAAGACAUACAGGUCGAGCAGGUACGAAAGUAGGGCUUAGUGAUCCGACGGUAGAGAAUGGAAUUGCCGUCGCUCAACGGAUAAAAGUUACCCCGGGGAUAACAGGCUUAUCUCCCCCAAGAGUUCACAUCGACGGGGAGGUUUGGCACCUCGAUGUCGGCUCGUCACAUCCUGGAGCUGAAGCAGGUUCCAAGGGUUGGGCUGUUCGCCCAUUAAAGUGGUACGCGAGCUGGGUUCAGAACGUCGUGAGACAGUUCGGUCCCUAUCCGUCGUGGGCGUAGGAUAUUUGAAGGGAUCUGUCCCUAGUACGAGAGGACCGGGAUGGACAUACCUCUGGUGUACCAGUUGUUUACCAAAAGCAUAGCUGGGUAGCUAAGUAUGGAUCAGAUAAACGCUGAAAGCAUCUAAGCGUGAAACUGACCUUAAGAUGAGAUAUCCCAUAGAGUUAAUCUAGU
rnacentral:rRNA from 1 species